UCCUCAUCCGUGGCAACUCUCACGUAUCUGAAAAAUUAGGAUUAGUGGAUGCUUGUGGCAGUGGAAAUAUAGCUGGUGAUACAUCUUCAGAAGUAACUCAAGCAUUGUAUGAGGAGGCAGAGAGCCUUGAAAGCAGUGUUGUAUCUGGGUUUCAAGUGGCGACUGCCGCUGGACCUUUAUGUGAUGAACCUAUGUGGGGUUUAGCAUUUCUGAUUGAGGCUGAAAUUGAACCAUUGACUGCUCAAUGUGAUGAGGUGGAAGCCUCCCACCAGCAACAUGAGCAAUAUGGCAUCUUCAGAGGACAGGUAAUGACAACCGUCAAAGAUGCUUGUAGAGAAGCCGUGCUUCAAAAGAAGCCACGGCUUGUGGAAGCCAUGUACUUCUGUGAGUUGAACACGUCAACUGAGCAUUUGGGUUCGAUGUACGCUGUGCUUGGGAGAAGGCGGGCUAGAGUUUUGAAGGAGGAAAUGCAGGAAGGCUCCCCAUUGUUCACCGUGCAUGCAUAUCUGCCAGUUUCUGAAAGCUUUGGUUUUGCAGAUGAGCUUAGAAGAUGGACUUCUGGUGCUGCAAGUGCUCUUCUUGUGCUUAGUCACUGGGAAGCACUUCCCGACGAUCCUUUCUUUGUACCGAAAACAGAAGAGGAAAUUGAGGAGUUUGGUGAUGGUUCUAGUGUGCUUCCCAAUACCGCGAGGAAACUAAUUAAUGCCGUAAGACGGAAGAAGGGCCUUCAUGUAGAGGAAAAAGUAGUACAGCACGCAACAAAGCAGAGGACCCUGGCUCGUAAAGUGUAGAGGUUGUCAAUAUAGUCGAUGAGUGAUUUAACUCCUUCAGUGCAGAGGAUACUUCUCUAUAUUGUGAAGGGACAAUUUUGUAGUCCUUUGAGAGUGAUCAACUCCUUUUUGCAAAAGUACAGAGGUUGUUGAUAUAGUUGUAAUGUGCUCACUUUAGUAUAAUUUCAUUUUAUUGUUGGAUUUUGCGGAAGCCGGCAUUUGAGUUUUAUCUUCUCUCAGGAUUAGGAUUCUUUUAGUGCUUUGGUAAUACCAGAGAGAUCAUAUUUUGUUGAAGGUAAACACCAAUUACCAGCAAUACUUGUACAAAACAACUUUGACAGUGUUUAUUAUACGAUCUGCUUUUGAUAAUUUCUGGCUAUGAUCUCACUUGUUUGCCAAAGUGCUAAUCUGAUAUUCAGGAGGCUCAUUUGUAGUCCAGAUGUGAAUUGCAAAGCAGAGUAUGAUUUAUAUUAUCAAGUAUUUCAUUUUUUGUGUGCGUUUAUACCCUCGAGUAAAUGGACAUCGCAGCAAACAACCCUAAAAUAGCACAGCAGGAGUAGAUCUUUCAUAUUGUGCACAUAGCCAUGAUAUCAUUAUGAUGGGAUGGGAGCAUCAUAUUUUACUUCAUCAUGUGUUGAGUUUCUAGUGUAUGAAAAUUUUCUCUUUCGAUAUCUGCUUUGAAGGUUCAAACCAGAAAAUUAAUCUCUUUUAUUUCAGACCCAAAAAAAAAAAAAAAAAAAAAAAUCUCUUUUAAUAAAAUGGUCUCGCCGCGCGGCUAUACUUAUUUUGACACGUAAGCACCAAAUCGCUAGGCAGGUCGUCUCUUGUUCUUUAAAAAAAUCGUACUAGUUUUCCCCUUUUAAAAAAAAAUUUGGUAUAGCCGCGCGGCUUUACUUAACGUGAAGCUGGUUUUUUUAAAAAAUAUAAAUAGUAUAGCCGGGCGGCUAUACCGGUUUUGGAACAUUUGUUUAAAAACAGUAUAGCCGCACGGCUGUACAUGUUUGACACGUGGCGCCUAGACGAUGGGCGGGUCUAUAUAUAUAUAUAAAUAGUAUAGCCGGCCGGCUAUACUUGGUUUUAAAAACAAUUAAAAACGAAUGGCCGCGCGGCUAUAAUCAUUUUAUCUUUUGUUAAAAAUAGUAUAGCCGUUGACACGUGGCGCAUAGGCGUUCGGCGAGUCUUUUGUUGUAGUAUAGCCGCUCGGCUAUACUCGGUUUUUGAAAAAAUUAGAAUAGCUGAAAUGCUUUACUCUUUUGACACGUGGCGCCUUAGCACUGGGAUUGCAAUGCAGAGAGGUUACUGCAACCCGGUAGAACACUACACAAACUUGACGGGUUCGGUCUAACCCCAUCUCCGAUCAUUGACCUAAAAAGCUUUAAACCCUCUUCGGCUUGACAAUUUUCAACAUAACCAGAAAUCAUAGUAUUCCAAGUUACUAAAUUUUUCAUGGGCAUCUCUCUGUAUAAUUCAAUCUUCCCAAACUUCAUGUACUCCGUGUAACCAUAGCAGUCCACGGUGCCACCUCAUACGAUCUCACUUGUUUGCCAAAGUCGUAAUCUGAUAUUCAUGAGGCUCAUUUGUAGUUCAGAUGUGAAUUGCAAAGCAGAGUAAACGGACAUCACAGCAAACAACCCCAAAAUAGCACAACACAUGAAUAGAUAUUUCAUAUUGUGCAAAUAGCAACGAAGAAAAAGUUACAAUUAGUGAGGGAUAAUUGAAUGUCCGAAGGAGAAAGGGGGUUCUGUCAAAUAUAGUAUCUUCGCUGUAAAAAAGAAUACUAUAAAUUCAUUAAUUAAAAUUACAAAAUUACCCUUAAAAAUCCCUAGAAGUUCUCCUUUCGCCUAUUAUUUAUUCUAUAAUUUGUUUUCUACUCUCUCACACUCUUGGACCCGCCGCUCGUUCAAAUUUUCUUGGCUGCUCGUUCAAUUUCAGCCAAAAUCAAGAGGUAAAAAACUUCAUUUUAGCUGCAUUCGAGAGAAUGACUCUAUUAGAUUAUAUUUGUAGAUGAUUAUUAAUAUGAAUGUAGUUUCUAGUGUGUAAAUCGAUCAAAGAUUUACUUAAUUUGAGCUACAUAUGUUUCUUUUAAGAAUCCAUAUAUUUGAACUUUGUAGUACUACAUAAUUUUUAGGGCAUACAUUAUGAAAAGCGUGAUGAUCUCCAUGUAUACUGAAAUAAAUUUAUGUUGGAAUAUAUAUAUGUAGAUCUAUUUAUAUUUUUAAAUUCUGUUUGGUUCAUGAUUUGGUUGGAGACUAGUGAUUUGUAAUUGCAGCAUAUCUUCUUAUUAGAUUAUCCGUUUUAAGAACUAUAAAUUCUUCCGUGCACUCGUCACAUUGCUACAUAAUGUUAGUGUGAUUGAUAUAUAUAGUGAAAUUAUCGUGUAACGCUCUUGUUAAGAACAAUCAUUGCUGUGAUCAAACAAUAUUAAUGAACUUUGUUGUAUCCACAGAGCAUGAACAUGGUGCCCCGCUACCAAAGUGGAGAUCAAGGAAGAAGAUUGGAUCCCGCACGAAAAGCACUAAAGCUUCCUUUUGAGAUGAUCAUUGAGAUUCUGAGUUGGCUAACUGUAGACGCUUUGCUGAGAAUGAAGUCUGUCUGCAAGAAAUGGUGUGCUUUGAUUGAAGACCAUCACUUCAUUGUGAAGCAUAUGGAUCGGGCUAGUCCUCUGCCAAUAAAAUGUCAAUACAGUAGGAGACAUGACCAAGUAGCCCUUCUUCACAGUAAAAAUAUCCGGUGUAUGUCCCGUGUUGCUGGCUUGUUUGUAGAGAAGCAUCACAGUCUUCCUGUUUGCCGCAUCAGAAAUCCGGUCAUUGGUCACGUCCUUGACUUGCCUAAUGCACAUAUGGAUGUGUGUAGAAUGAAAUGUGCUUUUGAUUCAUUGACUGGUGAUGCCAAAUUAGUAAGUGCUUAUAUCCACAAUGAUGAAGUGGGAUAUGAAGUUAUGAGCAUUGGACAAGAUGGGGAUUGGAGAGCCUUGAAACACCCAAACCAAGGCUUGUUGAAGAAAAAUGGCAAAUGGACAACAAGAAGGCAAUUUUUUCUAACUGAUGAGGUUCAUGAUGGGGUUUAUUUUUGUUCUGAAAUUAUAACAGAUGGGGAAGAUUGGUGCUUGGAAGUCCAAGCUCUCGAUCCGUGGAAUGAGUGCUUCAUCACAACUACAUUGCCCCAAGGAGUUUUCAAUGGCUGCAAGAGAGUUUGGGUUUUCAAUUGGAACCAACAUAUAGCUGUUGGAGAUAUUGUAGAGGAAGAACUUCAUGUCUUGGUGCUAGAAGACUUGAAAGAGGAACAAUGGAGUCAAAAUAAGAUCAUUGUGCCAUUGAAAUUUUUGCAGCAUCAGCCACUUUUGGAUGAUCAAGUUCUCAUUCCUGUGAAGGCUGAUUGUGAUGAGCUCAAGCUGCGUUAUAAGGGAGGGAAGACUCUCUUUUAUGACAUGAACAAUGAGAUGAUUAAGAAGGUGGUGUAUAAAUGGUUCGACACCGAUCUUCUGGGAUUUUAUAAGCCAAGCCUUGUGAGUCUCAAGGGAAUGAGACAAGACGAGAGGGUACGACACAGAAUGGGGAUUGAUUAGAGCAAUUGCAAUGAAUUUGGUGGUUGCUUAUGAUUAUGAAAUUACUUUUUUAUUUUAAAGAAGUUUGUUUAUGAUAUGCAAAAAUGCGAAUUGGUUUGUUCCAAAUUACUGCUCAAGUCUUUAUACUCUGAUGUGUGAUUAAUUUUGGUUUGUUCUAAUUGAUUUACUGUGAAAAUUUUCUCUCUUCGAUAUCUGCUUUGGACGUUGAAACUAGCAAAUUAAUAUCUACAAAUAGUAUAGACGCGCGGCUAUAUACAGUUUUGAGAGAGAGAGAGAGAGCAUAAGAUCUCACUUUUUUUGUUUUCAAUGAUAGGGGUGUAAAUCUCACUUUUUUGUUUUCAAUGAUAGGGGUGUUUUUGAGUUGUAUUUUGGAUUUUGGUUUUUUAAAAGGGGCUUAUCAAACAGGUUUUUUGGGCUUUGAACUUAAAAUCUGUUUUUGAGUUUAUAAAAUUGGAUCCAAAUAGGAUACCAAACAGGCCCUUAGUUGACGUGAACUUAUAACAUGUCUUAAAAGAUCCAACUCAUUCAUAUGUCAACUAAUCUUUUAUUUAAUUAUUUCUUUUUCCAAUGUCUGGAGAGAUUACAAGUCCAAAUUCCUCAUCUCCUCACAUUUGAACAAAAAAAAAAAAAAAAACAUUCAUGCAUUAAUACGUGAGAUAUUGGAAGCAAUUAAACAUAUGAGUAAUGCUACACUUACCACAAUUUUUUUUCACAUUUUUAUACAACAUGAUGUGGCAUGUCCAUAUUAUAUGUUACAUCAAUUAAAUCAAUGACGUGUCAACACUUGUGGCACCACGUGUCAACACUUGUCUUUUCAAAAAAAAUUCAAAACUGAGUAUAGCCGCCCGGACAUGUUUCAAGACUAAGUAUAGCCGCACGUUUGCUUUUUAAAAAAAGGAGAUGCGUAUAGAACACGAAUGUAUUAUUGAAAACUACGUACGUACACACACACAUAUAUAUAUAUAUAUAUUAUGACUAAUUAAAGUAAUUCAAAAAGGAUAGGAAAUUACUUAAUUACAUAUAUUAAAUUAAGGAAGUUGGCCAAAAGAAAAAGUAAAGAAACUAAUUUUAUAUUUUUAAAAUUGAUACUUUUAAAAAAAAAAAAAUACAUGAACACUUCUCCCGACAAAAUUUCGUUGGCAAAGAUCUAUGCCGCAUUAUAUUUCUCCCGACGAAAAUAUCUUUGCCGACGAAAUGUCGUCGGGAGAGGUCUUAUUUUUAAAAAAUAAAUAUAAACUUAGGAUAUUUAGGUUAAUUAAUUUUUUAAAAAUUUACUUUUAGUAACUAUAUAAUAUAUUUGGAGAUUUAAUUAGUUGAAUUGACAAUUAUAUUUUAAUUAUUAUUUAUUUAAUGACUGAUUAUGAUUAAAUACUUUAAUUAACUUCAUGAAUUAUAUUACUUAAUAAAUAGUAAUUCAAUUUCUCAUUUUCUUUUUCUCCUUUAAUAUUCACUAAGUUAAUUACUAAUCAAAGUAAUCAAAAAAGUGAAAUACGUACUAUGAUGCUUAAAGGGUGUCGCCUACCUUUUCAUAAAAUAAUUUAAAAUAAUUUUUUAAAAAAAUAAUUUAAAAACUAAGUAUAGCCGUGCGGCUAUACUAUUUUUAAUAUAAAAAGGAGGACCCCAACGUUUUGGCGCCACGUGUCAACACAAGUCUACUUUAAAAAAACAAUUAAAAAACACAGAGUAUAGCCGUUGGGCUGUACAGUUUUUUGUUUUAAAAAAAGGGUCCUCCAGUCAUUAGGCGCCACUUGUCCCAAAAGAGUAUAGCCGUCCGGCUAGACUGUUUUUUGAAAAAAGAAAAAUAUAGUACCGCCGCCCGGCUAUACUAUGUAAAAGGUCCCCCAACCAUUUGGAGCCACGUGUCAACACAUGUCUUUUCAUAAAAAAUUCAAACCUGAGUAUAGCCGAGCGGCUAUACUAUUUUUAAGACAAAAAAGGGCCCCCAACCAUUUGGUGCCACGUGUCCACACAUGUUUGUAAAAAAAAUAUCAAAAUAGAGUAUAGCCGGGCGGCUAUACGAUUUUUAAUACCAAAAAGAGCCCCCAACCAUUUGGUGCCACGAGUCCACACAUAUUUUUUUUUAAAAAAUCAAAAUAGAGUAUAGCCGGGCGGCUAUGNNNNNNNNNNNNNNNNNNNNNNNNNNNNNNNNNNNNNNNNNNNNNNNNNNNNNNNNNNNNNNNNNNNNNNNNNNNNNNNNNNNNNNNNNNNNNNNNNNNNNNNNNNNNNNNNNNNNNNNNNNNNNNNNNNNNNNNNNNNNNNNNNNNNNNNNNNNNNNNNNNNNNNNNNNNNNNNNNNNNNNNNNNNNNNNNNNNNNNNNNNNNNNNNNNNNNNNNNNNNNNNNNNNNNNNNNNNNNNNNNNNNNNNNNNNNNNNNNNNNNNNNUUUUUGUAUUAAAAGAAGUAUAGCCGCCCGGCUAUACUCAGUCUUGAAUUUUUUUUAACGAAGUGUUGACACGUGGCUACAAAUGUUUGGGGGAACUUUUUUGUAUUUAAAAAAUAGUAUAGCCGGUCGGCUAUACUCAGUUUUGAAUUUUUUUAUGAAUAGACAUGUGUUGACACGUGGCUCCAAAUGGUUGGAGGAAUUUUUUGUAUAAAAAUAGUAUAGCCGCGCGGCGAUACUCAGUUUUGCAAAUUUUUUUAAAAUGUGUUGACACGUGGCUCCAAAUGGUUGGGGAACCUUUUUUAUACUAAAAAUAGUAUAGCCGUCCGGCUAUACUCAGUUUUGAAUUUUUUUUUUAUGAAAAGACAUAUGUUGACACGUGGCUCCAAAUGGUUUGGGGACCUUUUACAUCGUAUAGCCGUGCGGCUGUACUAUAUUUUUCUUUUUUGAAAAGAGGCUAGCCAGUCGUCUAUACAUUUUUGGGACACGUGGCGCCUAAUCGCUGGAGGACACUUGUUUAAAACAAAAAACAGUACAGCCGCACGACUAUACUCUGUGUUUUUUAAUUUUUUUUAAAAGUAGACUUGUAUUGACACGUGGCGCCAAAACGUUGGAUUCCUCCUUUUUAUAUUAAAAAUAGUAUAGCCGCACGGCAGUACUCUGUUUUUAAAUUUUUUUAAAAAUUUUUUUUUUUUAAUGAAAAGGUAGGCUAGACCUUUUAAGCAGCAUAGUACGUAUUUCACUUUUUUGAUUACUUUGAUUAGUAAUUAACUGAGUGAAUAUUAAAGGAGAAAAAGAAAAUGAGAAAUUGAAUUACUAUUUAUUAAGUAAUAUAAUUCAUGAAGUUAAUUAAAGUAUUUAAUCAUAAUCAGUCAUUAAAUAAAUAAUAAUUAAAAUAUAAUUGCCAAUUCAACUAAUUAAAUCUCCAAAUAUAUUAUGUAGUUACCAAAAGUAAAUUUUUAAAAAAUUAAUUAACCUAAACAUCCUAAGUUUAUAUUUAUUUUUUAAAAAUAAGACCUCUCCCGAUGAAAUAUCGUCGGCAAAGAUAGUUUCGUCGGGGGAAACCUAAUCCGGCAAAUUUUGUCGGCAUAGAUCUUUGCCGACGAACUUUCGUCGGGAGAAGUGUUCAUGUAUUUUGUUUUUUUUGAAAAGUAUCAAUUUUAAAAACAUAAAAUUAGUUUCUUUACUUUUUCUUUUGGCCAACUUCCUUAAUUUAAUAUAUGUAAUUAAGUAAUAUCUUAUCCUUUUUGAAUUACUUUAAUUUGUCAUAAUAUAUAUAUAUAUAUAUGUGUGUGUGUACGUACGUACGUAGUUUUCAAUAAUACAUUCGUGUUCUAUACGCAUCUCCUUUUUUUAAAAAGAUGUCUGUUUUGACUUCCAUUUUGUGGAAACUGUUUUCAAGAAACUGAAUGCAAUCUAGUUUCUGUUAACCAAAUACAUGCUCGAUCAUCAUAAAUAAUAUCAUGCCAAAAGCAUAUAGUAACCAAAUGACCAGCAGAUUGAAAAAAGAAGAGUUUCAAGAUUCAUAGAAACCAACAGCAACUUCAAGUUGAGAAUCAUAUACAUACCUCAACUAAAUACCUAGCUAUGCUUCUCGUCAUCGGCAUUCGAAAUUCAGACCUGACCUUCUUAAGUCCUUCUUAGAAAAGAAGGCCUCCUCAGCAAAUCGAAUAUUGCUAGCUUGGUGAGACACCUUGCUCCAGAAUAGGGCUGCUGCUCCACUGAUUUUUUUUAUUUAUGAAAAGUUCCAAGGUUGCUACCUCUAAUUAUAUAGACUUAGGAAAGGAAACCGACUUAAUCAUUGGACUUCUUUUAAUUCUAAUAUUCAAAAAAUAAAAAUGUAGAAAAAAGGAUAUUCAAUGCAAACUCUUUUUUUUCUGUUUUGGUUGGAUAUAUAAUUUCAAUCAUAAGGUUGUACUUAUCAUUUUAUCUAAUCUAACUUAAAUGGUUGCACUUAUCAGGCUUUUACUCGUUACAAAAAUAAAAAACACAAAAUUGGAAGCUUUUUCUUUGUUUUAAAGAAAAAAAAAAACAAAAAGAAACCAUGAGAAUCUUUGCGGAAGAAAAUGAGAUAGGAACCCUAAUCCUAAUCUCUUGUGCCAUUUUAAGAUUUAGAAGACUAAAUGACAUUCAUGAUGAUACAUAUCAUAAUCUGGUGCUGGACUAUGUCUCACCUGAAAAUGUUAAUGAGUGCAUCCAGUUGACUGAUGCCACUGCUGGGGAAAGACAAUAUUUAUCUCCUCCAUGUUCCUCAUGUGGCAUCCGAGCAUCUUUUCAGAAAAAAGGGAAAAUAAAUGGAGAUUCUUCGUUGAGUACAUGUCAAGAUGUUGCAUGAAAGUUGGGAAUUCAAAUGAUUGCCGAGUAUAUAUCCACUGCAUGUUUGACAUUAUAUUGCCAUCAACAUUGACUCUAUGACGCCUAACUUUCUCCAGUAAUUGUUGCAUACACUCAGCAGGAUAGACCGGAUCACCUCCUGGAGUUCUCAGCCGGAUGCUUAUAAGAUUUAAACACAAUUCAAUCAAAAUAGUCCAAAAGCAUAAAUGCAUUGCAAGCAACAUAUAUGGUACCAGGAGCUAGCAUCUUCAAAAGUGCGUGUGUCCCAAUGUGAGCCAGCGCAGAUUUAAUCUGAUCAUGCCCUUCAAGAUCAUCGACAUAGUGUGAGACAACAUUCCCCUUGUUCAUAAGUUUUCAAAAACAAAAGAGCAGGAUGCACAAGUGGAUACAAAGGCUUGGGGAAAGAGACACCCUUCCAUACUUGUCCAUUUCCUUUUGCAGGAAACGUAUAUAUAGUCCCUGUAGAAUCUGUAUUGGGGAAGACAGAGGGCAACGCUAACAAUUGUCGGCUUCUGGACAGCUUGUGUUCUUCAGGCUUGCAACAACGGCAUUUGCAACUUUACUAAAACCUCUCGACGUUGUAAAUAUCAAGCCAAUUAAAUUAGCACAAUAUAUUUUCACAUUUCAAAAGGAAGAGCACCACAAAUUAACAUCAGAAAAUAAAUAAAAUAAAAUAAAAAAUGGGCCUAGGCGGGUCUGGGAUAUUUUUUUGUUUUUUUUUUCCUGACUUGCAAAUCAAGCCAACUCUAACCUCACGCUGUCGCCUCCUUCACCAAAUUCAGAAAAACGGGAAGAUGGGAUGCGAAAUUUUAAAGUCUCGCCUUGACAACUUCAAGGGGACAGGGAAGUGGAUACACUACGGGAGUCUGACUGUAGAUAUAGUGUGUCUGGUGUUGGAUCACUUAGAUUUUGAUAUCUGACCAGAACUAAAAGCCUAAAUUAGCACAAUAUAUAUUCAUAUUUCAAAAGGAAGAGCACCAACUAUAAUCAAUUAAAGCCGAUUGAAUCAUCAGGAGAAAAAAAAAAAAAAAAAAAAUCGUCCUAGGCGCUAGGCGCCCGCCUAGGCGGGUCUGGGCGAUUUUUUUGUUUUUUUCCCUAACUUGAAAGAAAACUAACCUCACGAUGUCGCCCCCUUCACCAAAUUCAAGAAAAUCAAGCUCUUUAAUUACCAGAAUAUCUGGCUUGGAUAAGAACCUAUCCAGGUAGUUAAUGGCAAGGUAUGGUAUGAAAGGGUCAAGGUUGCAAGAAUAUUGUGCCUGAUAAAUUAUGCAAGAAGAGAGAAAUUAACUGAAGAAACAGAGCUCACAAUUAUUCUUUUCUUCUUUUUCUUCUUAUUGUAUAUCAUUUUUUAAGGCAAAACAGCACCAGGAGCUCUCUGGGGAGACAAUGGUGGGCGGGUAGAGUUUUCGGGUCGGGUUGGGAGCAGGUGCUGGUGAGGAAGAUAGAUGGGUCUGGCGGCACCUGCGGCAUUUGGGUUUAGUUGGGUUUGUUUGAGACUUGAGAUGAGUAGUGGUACUCGUAGUCGUGGUGGCUGCAGCUGCCAUGAAAUAUUUAAAAUCGCAAAAAAAUGUGAUGUGCCUUAUAAUUGUUGUCGAUGUUUUAUCCUUGAUACCUCAACUCAAUACCUAGUUAUGCUUGAUCGGCAGUUGAAAGUCACCCAAGGUAGCUACAUUCGAAAUUCGGAACAGACCUUCUUAAGUCCUUCUUAGAAAAGAAGGCCUCCUCCGCACAUCGAAUACUGCUAGCUUGGUGAGACACCUUGCUCCAGAAUAGGGCUGCUGCUCCACUGACUUUUUUUUUUUAAUGAAAAGUUCCAAGGUUGCUACCUCUAAUUAUAUAGACUUAGGAAAGGAAACCGACUUAAUCAUUGGACUUCUUUUAAUUUCAAAUAUUCAAAAAAUAAAAAUGUAGAAAAAAAGAUAUUCAAUCAAAACUCUUGUUUUUCUGUUUUGGUUGGAUAUAUAAUUUCGAUCAUAAGGUUGUACUUAUCAUUUUAUCUAAUCUAAUUAAAAUUCUUGUACUUAUCAGGCUUUUACUCGUUACAAAAAUAAAAAAACACAAAAUUGGAAGCUUUUUCUAUGUUUUAAAGAAAAGAAACCACGAGAAUCUUUGCGAAAGAAAAUGAGAUAUGAAUCCUAACCCUAAUCUCUUGUAACAUUUUAAGAUUUAGAAGACUAAAUGACAUCCAUGAUACAUAUCAUAAUCUUGUGCAUUUCGUUUACUUUGACAUGCAGUCUUGUUGUGUACAUGUGGUGCUGGACUUCGUCUCACCUGAAAAUGUUAAUGACUGCAUCCAGUUGACUAAUGAAGUCCGUCUGCUUCCAGAAGACAUGAAGAAAAAGUUGACAAGCUAGAGGUGAACUUUCAAUGAUCCUAGUAUCAAUGUCUUAUUUUCUCCAUCAUAUGAUUACAAAGUUGAUCAGUGAUUGAAAGUGCCUUACCUUUGUCAUGAAAAACAGGUGAAGCGAAUGUAAGUGCCACUGCUGGGAAAGACAAUAUUUAUCUCCUCUCCAUGCUUCCUCAUGUGGCACCCGCGAGCAUCUUUUCAGAAAAAAGAGAAAAGAAAUGGAGACUCUUCGUUGAGUACAUGUCAAGACGUUGCAUGACAGUUGGGAAUUCAAAUGGUUGCCGAGUAGUAUAUAUCCACUGCAUGUUUGUAAAUGCUGCAUUGCUCAGACAUUGCCAUCAACAUUGACUCUAUGACGCUUAACUUUCUCCAGUAAAUGCAUUGCAAGCAACAUCGAAGGUAUAUAUAUGUUAUCAGGAGCUAGCAUCUUCAAAAGUGCACAUCAAAGGUAUUAUAAUUAAAAUAUAAUUGCUAAUUCAACUAGUUAAAUCUCCAAAUAUAUUAUGUAGUUACUAAAAGUAAAUUUUUUUAAAAUUAAUUAACCUAAACAUCCUAAGUUUAUAUUUAUUUUUUUAAAAUAAGACCUCUCCAGACGAAAAUUUCGUCGGGGGAAACCUAAUCCGGCAAAUUUUGUCGGCAUAGAUAUUUGCCGACGAAAUUUCGUCGGGAGAAGUGUUCAUUUUUUUUUUUUUUUUUUUUCAAAAGUAUCAAUUUUAAAAAUAUAAAAUUAGUUUCUUUACUUUUGAGCCUUCUUAUCCUGCAGACAUGGGUGCACUGACGAAGGGUUUACGGCUGCUUAACCGGGCAGACCCAUUUGUAGAGGUCACGGUUUCUGCUAGGGGAGAGCAUGUUCUGUCUGCUGCAGGAGAGGUACAUCUUGAAAGAUGCAUAAAGGAUUUGAAGGAGAGAUUUGCAAGGAUAGACUUGGAAGUGUCUCCACCUCUUGUUUCUUAUAAAGAGACCAUUGAGGGAGAUGUAGUCGAUAAACUUGAGAAUUUGAAAGAGUUUCUUAAGAGCUCAGAUUGUGUUAAGAAAAAGACGCCAAAUGAAAGGUGUACUAUUAAGGUGCGAGUCAUAAAGCUCCCACCUUCUUUAACUAAGGUGCUUGAGGAGAAUUCUGGUUUACUUGGAGAAAUCAUCGAAGGUAAUGCCCAGACCAAUUAGGAUUAGUGGAUGCUUGUGGCAGUGGAAAUUUAGCUGGUGAUACAUCUUCAGAAGUAACUCAAGCAUUGUAUGAGGAGGCAGAAAGCCUUGAAAGCAGUGUUGUAUCUGGGUUUCAAGUGGCGACUGCCGCUGGACCUUUAUGUGAUGAACCUAUGUGGGG
rnacentral:lncRNA from 1 species